rnacentral:tRNA from 2 species
GUCCUGGUAGCUCAACGGAUAGAGCAGCAGCCUUCUAAGCUGUCGGUUGGGGGUUCGAGUCCCUCCCAGGACGCCA